CAAAAGCUACCAUAAAACGGUCACGCUUGCCUCCAAGAGGCAACAAGUCUGAUGAAUAAACAUUGUGCUUGCUAGAAUUCUAAACAUCUGUGAACUGUCAAUCCUCCUUUACUUCGGAACCAUUUGAAACGAUUUGAAUAUUGGAUUGCACCUUGUUGUUCCCUUAUAGGUUUCCUUCUUUCUUCCAUACACUUGUGUCUCGCCUUAUCACUCUGUCUUCUAAAGGUUCUGGAGCACACCUCACACAUCACAUCCCUGACUACCACCAGAGCACAUCUCCAACGUUCCAAACCAUCAUGACACAAUGUACUCCAGCCCGCUCUCAACCUCACAGCCUCAUCAUACCAUUUCUCUUCUGAUACUUCAAUGUCUUUAUAAUCUCUUCUCAUCAUAUCUCUCCAUCUCUUCUUUGGACCACAUCUGGGGCUUGGCUGAGGCAACCAACCAAAUAAGAUGCAGUCUCCUCAUCUCCCCACCUCCUCCUUACUUCUGCCAUUGUGAUGUGCUCAGACCAUUGUUGCCUGUUGGAAAUGCCCAAGAUACUUCUAAUGCAUUGAUGGUGAAAGGUGUUCAGCUUCUUCUCCUGCUUUCUGAGAAGUGUUUAUCAAUAAAGACAGCCUUUCUCAAAGCCCCAAAAGUCCUUGAUGCUUGAGCUACCCUUUUGUCUACCUCCACAGUCAUUCGCCCAGAACUGGUAAUGACAGACCCAAGAUAAGAAAACUCAUCUAUCAUUUCAAUGUCUCCUCCCUUAAGCACAACAGGAGUUUGUUCAUUUCCUCAACCAGUCUUCCUGUUAUCAUGUGUUUGGUUUUGGGAAUG